GUUUAGUUGCUAACGCGUGAAGGCGAGCACUCUAGACGAACUGCCGUUGACAAAACGGAGGAAGGUGGGGAUGACGUCAAAUCAUCAUGCCCCUUAUGUUCUGGGCUACACACGUGCUACAAUGGCCGGUACAGACGGACGCAAAGCCGCGAGGUGGAGCAAAUCCUAAAAAGCCGGUCUCAGUUCGGAUUGCAGGCUGCAAUUCGCCUGCAUGAAGUCGGAAUCGCUAGUAAUCGCAGGUCAGCAUACUGCCGGUGAACUACGCUCCCGGGCCUU
rnacentral:rRNA from 1 species